GCUGCCUAGGUGGCACCACUGGUUCUGUUCAAGAGAUGCUGGAAAAAAGCAUGAUUCUCCUACCAGUUGCUACCAAAAGUUCUAAAUGAGCCCCAGCAGGAUGGAAGUCCUGGCACCACUUCAUUUCUGACAUUCGGGUUGUGGCUGUCGCUGCUUAUAAAGCCCGAACAGCACCUGGAAGGCAGUAUCAGCAGGUUUCGAGAAUCUUCUAAAUAAAACACACAUUGAAUGGAAAAACAAUUGGAGGAGAAAAUGUUAUGCACCCCUUUGGGUUUAAACAAAAACCACCGGCAGAAAGUGUCAACCCUCUCCAUGCCAUGGCUCAGCCAAUUCAGACUCAUGAUGCAACGUUAAAAGUCCAGGCCUUCCACGCAGCCGUACUGGUCUCCAUCUCCUUACAAUGCCAGCAGUAACAUGCUGCGAAGCACGGCUUCUGCAAGAUAAGAAAGACAAAUAAGAUAGAUUUGCACUGUGGUGGUACAUGCAAUAUUAGUCCUUGUUACUGAUGUCAUCAAUCAUGCUAUGUAUUAUUCCAAAUGCAAACAUUCUCCAGGAGUUCCUAAUCAUUUAUAUACACACAGUGCUCAAAAACACAGUGGCCCCGUCAGACUUCAUUCAUCUGUGUGUGGGUUGCAUCCGGCAUGCCUGAGUCAGCCAGGGGCUUCUCUGAGUCAGUCUUUCCUGCUCUGUGGUCCAUCAGACUGCUUCCGGUACUGGUGGCCCAUGAACCUGAAGUGCUAGUCAAAGCAGCCCUCCGCCUUCCAGGACUAGAUGUUUCAGCUAAUGCUGGGCUUCCCCCCAUGACUAUACAGUGGGAAUCAUCUUGCAGAGUAACUUUAAGGCCCAAACUACAGCCUGAAUAUGAUGUUUGGCUGUAGCUCUGUGAACUGAAAGUCGGGUCUCACUGAAAAACUGCUACUAAGUCCAAACGGAUGUGAGGAAGUGUUUGUGGACGUAGGCCAGCAGAAGUUAAGUAUCUCCAGCCACAUGCUGCUACCUGGAAGCACAUCUCCCUUUUUACAGAUCCAUUUUACAGCUCUUUGUUACAACUAGUGCUGGGCCAACAUCUGUCUUCCAGUUUCCCAGAAGUUUCUCUCCCCAUGAAAGGAGCUUCUGUUUUUCUAUCUCAUCCUGUGUUGGUGGCAUUGCUUAUCAUUGUGACAUGGCCAAGUGUGCUGUGCGUUUUCUUCUUCCUGAUACACAUCUCUCCGUCACUCUGUUGCCUCCCUCCCUGGGAAGUGGAUGAAUCUGCCAGCUGUGCAAGAAGAGGGAUCUAUACAACGAAAGAGGCCGUUCUGAGCCAGCUCAUGCGUAAAGCAAGUACAAGAACUGCAAAUCCUACCUGUGAGAAUUGCUUUGCGAUCGCCUUCUCCUUCAAGCAUCAUUAAAGCAUUUUUUCUAUCAAA